AUGAAGCUCGAGCCGAGGUUAAUCAGAAGGUCAAGGAAUUGAACCAAGUAGCUAAAUUAUUAUUAUUUGUGCCAUCUACUCAGAUCUAUCAGUCCGCGGAGCGGGAGCUACUUGAACAAUUAUUCACAAACCUUCACAAAAACCUUGAAGAGACUAUCAACUCCAAAAGAUUAGCUCAUAGGAACAAACAGUAUCUCUAGUAUACGUCUCUUCUAAUGAUAUUCAUAUCUUGAAAUUCUAUUCAAUCAUCAUUUUUUUCUUGCUUUACCAUGGUGCAGAUGAAAAAAGGGAUAACUCUGAAAGAUUACUCGAUAAAUGUCUUGUCAUGAGUGUUAUAUCCAGAGUUUUGUUUACAUGUAUGUCCUACAGAACGUGGUAGAUCUCUUUUUAAAGCUGGUGGAAGAAAUCAAUCAACCAGUAAGAUACUUGGUUAUACAUAUACUUUAGUAAUUAUGGAGAUUUUCAUUUUUGACAAGUCUGGAUUCGAUUGAUUAUUGGUGUUUUGCAUUUUUGAUUCUUGUGGCCUUCUAGUUGAUCUUUUCGGUAGAUGUUAUUAUGUCAUUUAUUCAGUACAACUACACUCUAGUAUUUCCGUCGCCACGAGAAAUUCUAGAAACGUUUAAUGUGUAGUUGCGAAAAAAAUUCACUAGAUCAUUCCUUUGCGACACCAAAAACAUGUGAAUGGAGUGAGGUAUCCUUCAGUUUCAUAUCAUAUUUACGAAUGCCACAUCGCUCCUUGUUAAAACUCAAUGAUGCGGCAUUGCAAAAGUACAUAAUGUUAUUUUUGAAUGUAAUGUGUAGUUUUGUCUUCUUAUAACGUGAGUUUACAUUUGGAAUUCA